AUUUUCCACUUUCCAAAUUAAUCUGGCUAUUUUACUUCUGCUGUCCUCUGAAGCCUAGAGACAGCAUUCAAGAGGAUUUUCAGUGACUCAUCAGGAUUUGAAGCAAAAGGGCAGAGUCAGGCAAAAGGAGCCAGGAAGAACCCAGUCACCCUCUGGAAUUGAGGUAGAGGAAGGAAUUUGGAGGAGGAUGGAAGAGAAGCUGGACGCCCAAGGUCCCGUGACAGGAAACCCCUCUCUUCCUUUACAAAUGCUCAAA